rnacentral:rRNA from 1 species
AUGGUCCAAAGUUUGUCUUUCCUUCCUUCUUUGGCCGAGAUCCGUUGCCCCUACACCUCACCUUCUCUUCAUAUCCUCUGCUGGAGAUGCAGUUGGGGCACGCCAUGGGAGUUCCCCAUCCACCACGGUCGCCGCCGUCAAGGAAUUCUUCAAGGAGAUGUCAAGGACACCAUGGACAUGCAGCUCCUCAAGCGGAGGAUCACAGAUUCACAGAUCUCUGGCGGCCGCUUAGCCGCCCUCCGGAUCGGGACGCCAUCGACAGACUCCUCACCGACCUUCGUUCGUUGGCCUUCCGCCUGGCACCUCCGCUCCCGCCGCCACCCCCGGAGCCCGACUAGUGGAUGUUCCCCUCCUGGCGCGUGUGCCUUUUUGGCUGUGUGUGUUGGGCUUGUUGAGCUGUGCCCUCAGCAUUAA